rnacentral:tRNA from 1 species
GAUCUUGUGGUGAAGUUCAUGUUGGAUUGCAAAUCCAAAGAUAUACUAUAUAUAAGUAUCGAGAUCU